UAAAUCUCACAAUCCGGAUGUGCCCUCGGGCAUAUCUUGGAGAGUGGAUGUGUGCGAUCUUGCCUUUUUCAUUUCGAUGGGAAGGGCAAUCGCUUCAAAAUGAUUGUGUGUGUACGUCGAUUUACAGCAAUCGGUUCAAACUCAGUGCAACAGAUAAUGGAACACUUUGUUUGGCUGACUGCGUAUCCGGCAUGCGCGCCCUCUUCCUGUAACAGGGCUGAAUGCAAGUCUUGCAAUCAGCUUUGAA
rnacentral:misc_RNA from 1 species